GGGCCCGUAGCUCAGCGGUAGAGCAAUACUCUCUUAAAGUAAAGGUCGAUGGUUCGAAUCCAUCCGGGCUCA
rnacentral:tRNA from 1 species